rnacentral:rRNA from 1 species
GACGAACGCUGGCGGCGUGCUUAACACAUGCAAGUCGAACGAAGUGGCGAACGGGUGAGUAACGCGUAAUCAACCUGCCCUUCAGAGGGGGACAAAAGUUGGAAACGACUGCUAAUACCGCAUACUGAAGGAGGGGAUUGCGUGGGAUUAGCUAGUUGGGGGGGGAACGGCCUACCAAGGCGAUGAUCAGUAGCCGGUCCGAGGAGAUUAACGGCCACAUUGGGACUGGGACACGGCCCAGACUUCUACGGGAGGCAAGAGGGGGGGAUCUUUCGCAAUGGACGAAAGUCUGGCGGAGGCAAUGCGCGUGAGUGAUGACAGCCUUCGGGUUGUAAAGCUCUGUUAAUCGGGAAGCGGUACCGGAAUAGAAAGCCACGGCUAACUCCGUGCCAGCAGCCGCGGUAAUUC